CAUACCACCUGUAUCACGCCGAAGACAGCAGGUGCCGCAAGGCGUAAGUUUCAAACGCCUGCCGAGGAGAAGUUACACAAGGUUCAUGUUAUGGAAUUUUGAGAUCUCUUCGCCAAUCUUCGCGAAGAGCUUUUUUUAUACUUCC
rfam:Blautia sp. CAG:37, WGS project CBJJ01000000 data, contig: 280